rnacentral:tRNA from 1 species
UCCUCGGUAGUAUAGUGGUUAGUAUCCCCGCCUGUCACGCGGAGGACCGGGGUUCGAUUCCCGCCGGGGAG